rnacentral:tRNA from 1 species
GCCCGGGUGGUGAAACUGGCAAACACGUACGGUUCAGGGCCGUAUGCCGCAAGGCUUGGAGGUUCAACUCCUCUCCCGGGCA